GUGCACCAGGCGCGAAUUUUUCACAAUGGGGGAAACCCUGAUGGAGCGACGCCGCGUGGAGGAUGAAGGCCUUUUGGUCGUAAACUCCUGUCAAACGGGAACAAGAAAGUGAUAGUACCGUUAGAGGAAGAGGCGGCUAACUCUGUGCCAGCAGCCGCGGUAAUACAGAGGCCUCAAGCGUUGUUCGGAUUCAUUGGGCGUAAAGGGUGCGUAGGUGGCUUGUUAAGUUGAAGGUGAAAUCUCGGGGCUCAACUCCGAAACUGCCUUCAAUACUGGCGAGCUCGAGGAUUGUAGAGGAGAAUGGAAUUCACGGUGUAGCAGUGAAAUGCGUAGAUAUCGUGAGGAAGACCAGUGGCGAAGGCGAUUCUCUGGGCAAUUCCUGACACUGAGGCACGAGGGCCAGGGGAGCAAACGGGAUUAGAUACCCGCGUAGU
rnacentral:rRNA from 1 species